GACAGAGGGUGCAAACGUUGUUCGGAAUUACUGGGCGUAAAGCGCAUGUAGGCGGCUGCGCAAGUCGGGUGUGAAAGCCCUGGGCUCAACCCAGGAAGUGCACUCGAAACUGCGUAGCUGGAGUCUCGGAGAGGGAGGCGGAAUUCUGGGUGUAGAGGUGAAAUUCGUAGAUAUCCAGAGGAACACCGGUGGCGAAGGCGGCCUCCUGGACGAGAACUGACGCUGAGAUGCGAAAGCGUGGGGAGCAAACAGGAUUAGAUACCCUGGUAGUCCACGCCGUAAACGAUGAGUGCUAGAUGUCGCGGGCAUUGACCCCUGCGGUGUCGUAGCUAACGCAUUAAGCACUCCGCCUGGGGAGUACGGCCGCAAGGCUAAA
rnacentral:rRNA from 1 species